rnacentral:misc_RNA from 1 species
CCGAGUUAGGGUGUCUCUCCCUCGCGUGAGCGCCCGACCUCCCAACCCUUUGCUUACUUGACCUUUUGUUGCUUCGGCAGGCCCGCCUCCGGGCCGCCGGGAGUCGGUGACACGCUCCUGGCCAGUCUGCCUGCCGACGGCCCCAAUCAAACUCAUGUUUCAAACGUGUCGUCUGAGUACCAUGUUAUACACAAAUAACUACA